ensembl:snoRNA
CAGCAUGGUUCCAAGAGCUGCAGCCAGUUGCGGCCAUGGGAUCUCCACCUGCAUGCAAGAACAACUUGAAGAGACUCUGACAACACAGGUCAGCAUGAUACCUACAGCUGUCACUCCCCUUUCUUAUAACA